CAUUCAGCUCUCACUGAGCUGGAAUUCAUCCUUCCAUUCCAGCCCAAAUACAAAAAUAAUUCAGAUUAAUUACUGAAUGGCUGAGGUACCUUGCAGCACAAAUGAUUUUAUUCCCUGUGACUCUUCUUCUUGCACAUCAUGCAGUGUGUAAGGCCCUGGCAGAGGGGGUGGAAGAGCUAUAAAUUUACUCAUCUUUCAGAGGCUGGCAGAAAAGCUCAAACAUCUCCAGCUCGUCACAACACAGAGGGAGAGCUUGUGGGAGAGUAAUGACCAAAAAGCACAAGAUCUGCUGGCAGCUGCUUAAUA